GACAGAGGUGCCAAGCGUUAGGCGGAAUCACUGGGCUUAAAGCGUGUGUAGGCGGAUCGUUAAGUACCUUGUGAAAUCCCACGGCUCACCCGUGGAACCGCUGGGUAUACUGGGGGUCUUGGGCCACUCAGGGGCGACUGGAACAAGCGGUGGAGCGGUGAAAUGCGUAGAUAUCGCUUGGAACGCCAAAGGUGAAAACAGGUCGCUGGGAGUGCGCCGACGCUGAGACACGAAAGCCAGGGGAGCAAACGGG
rnacentral:rRNA from 1 species